AUGCUAUGAUGACAAAAUUAACGCUCUUCGUGAUGGCUGGGUCCUUCACACCCGUCUGACUAUAUAAGACGAUAAUAAAGCGUUCCUGAGCUU
rfam:Cucumis melo, WGS project CAJI01000000 data, contig: 26948